AGAGUUUGAUCAUGGCUCAGGACGAACGCUGGCGGCGUGCUUAACACAUGCAAGUCGAGCGGAAAGGCCACUUCGGUGGUACUCGAGCGGCGAACGGGUGAGUAACACGUGAGUAAUCUGCCCUUGGCUUUGGGAUAGCCACCGGAAACGGUGAUUAAUACCGGAUACGACCACUUCUCGCAUGGGAUGGUGGUGGAAAGUUUUUCGGCCAGGGAUGUGCUCGCGGCCUAUCAGCUUGAUGGUGAGGUAAUGGCUCACCAUGGCUUCGACGGGUAGCCGGCCUGAGAGGGUGACCGGUCACACUGGGACUGAGACACGGCCCAGACUCCUACGGGAGGCAGCAGUGGGGAAUAUUGGACAAUGGGCGGAAGCCUGAUCCAGCAACGUCGCGUGAGGGAUGACGGCCUUCGGGUUGUAAAGCUCUUUCGUCUGGGAAGAAAAGGCGUCGGAUAACACCUGGCGUUCUUGACGGUACCGGAAGAAUAAGCACCGGCUAACUACGUGCCAGCAGCCGCGGUAAUACGUAGGGUGCGAGCGUUAAUCGGAAUUACUGGGCGUAAAGCGUGCGCAGGCGGUUCGUGAAGUCCGAUGUGAAAGCCCUGGGCUCAACCUAGGAACUGCAUUGGAAACUGGCGGGCUAGAGUGUGGCAGAGGGGGGUGGAAUUCCUGGGUGUAGCAGUGAAAUGCGUAGAGAUCAGGAGGAACACCCGAUGGCGAAGGCAGCCCCCUGGGCUAACACUGACGCUCAGGCACGAAAGCGUGGGGGAGCAAACAAGGAUUAGAAUAACCCUGGUAGUCCCA
rnacentral:rRNA from 1 species